UGCCAGCAGCCGCGGUAAGACGAACCGGACGAACGUUACUCGGAAUCACUGGGCUUAAAGAGUACGUAGGCGGCCAGGUAAGCGAGGUGUGAAAUCCCACGGCUCAACCGUGGAACUGCGCUUCGAACUACUUGGCUUGAGGGAAGCAGAGGUAAGCGGAACUGAUGGUGGAGCGGUGAAAUGCGUUGAUAUCAUCAGGAACACCAGUGGCGAAGGCGGCUUACUGGGCUUUUUCUGACGCUGAGGUACGAAAGCUAGGGUAGCGAACGGGAUUAGAUA
rnacentral:rRNA from 1 species